rnacentral:rRNA from 1 species
UACAGAGGUCCCAAGCGUUGUUCGGAUUCACUGGGCGUAAAGGGUGCGUAGGUGGCGGGGUAAGUCUGAUGUGAAAGCUUCGAGCUCAACUCGAAAAUGGCAUUGGAUACUAUUCUGCUAGAGGGUUGGAGGGGGGACUGGAAUUCUCGGUGUAGCAGUGAAAUGCGUAGAUAUCAAGAGGAACACCAGUGGCGAAGGCGAGUCCCUGGACGAUACCUGACACUGAGGCACGAAAGCUAGGGGAGCAAACAGG